AGAGAGAGAGAGAGAGAGAGAGAGAGAGAGAGAGAGAGAGAGAGAGAAUAUACUCUAGCUGCCUGGGAAGGGAAGUGCCUGGAAGUUUCUAUCAGUUUGAUUAGGCACUGCCAGAUUCAUAAAUGUCCUCAAGCAAGUAGAAGACAGAUGUCCUGUCACAGAAGGUCUUAGAAACACUCUCAUCCAAUCAGAGAGGAGCAUCCUCACUCUUUCUCCACUCUGGUGAGGUCAGCAUUGCACAGGACCUCUGAGUUUCCCACUUUAACAGCUGUUCAGUACAGCAGGAACGGCCUCCAGCCUCCAGACCCUCCUGUUAAGAGGCAACUUGCUGUAGUUCUGUAAUUUCAUAAGGUUAGAAUGUCAGAUACCAAGAACUCAGCAGGCUGGGGAGAUGGCUCAGUGGCUCAGGUGCUUGCCUUUCAAGUGACUUGGGAUCCUUAGCACCCAUGUAAUUUCUGCCUGGGGUAGCAGUCCAGUCUGUAGUGGGUGGAGACUGGAGACCCAACCUCCAGAACAAGUUGCCUAGCUAGGCUCCCAGAGCUGUCAAACUCUUCAAAUGAGAGACCAUGCCUUACUUAAUAGGUAAGGUGUAGUGAGGAAGACAGCUGACUGUUAACCUCUGGCCUUUCCAUGUAUGAUUGCAUGCGCACACACGAGCACCCACACACAUGUGGACAGGAGCACACAUACAUACCACACACACACACAUAUAUGACACAAUCAUGUGCAAAACAAAAUGAAAAACAAAAACCCUCUCUGAUCAACAUUCACCACUCAGCUCUGUAGGAAUUUUUCUCUUCUUGGAAUAGAGUACACUUGCCUACAGCUGCUGUGUCCUGUGGUAUCAGCUGGCAGCCUGACACAGGCAGCCAGAGUCUGAGGUGAAGGUGCCAUUGUGGCUGCUCUGUUUCUAGAGAGAGUGUUCUGUGUCUGUCUCCUUGUUGCUGUGUGAGUGGUGCUCUCUCUAACUCCUCUGCUUGUGCACAGGUCACUGCGAUCCUAAGGUUGUGUGGCAUCCUUAGUGUGUCCCCUCACCAUCUUCCCUCUGUGCCUGUCCAUCUUUACAUGACAUGUGUCCCUUCCACUCUUCUUUUAGGACCACUCAUAUUGCAUUGGGCUACACCGACCUCCCGCAUGACCUCACCUUAACUUACAUCUUGGUUGUACAAUGGAAAAGCUCCAUUUCCUUCAGAAGAACUGAAGGUCAGAUUAAUACAUCUGUCCAUAAGAAAUAGGAAGAUACAAGCCACAGGUUCUAACCCACUACGGUGCAUGUUCUCACAUUCCCAUUUCAUGAACCACGGUGAGUGACAGGCACACACCAGAGGAGAGCACAAUGUCUCGCUCUGUUGCUCUGAUCUUUACAAUUGAUUUAUUUUUAAAUCACAUACAUAUGUGCACGCCAGUAUGUUGGAAUAUGCACAUGAGUGCAGGUGCCCACAAGAUCCAAAAGAGGCUGUCAGAUUCCCUGUCGAUAGAGUCCAGUUGUGAGCUGCCUGACAUGGUUGCUGGGAACCAAACUCAGGUCCUCUGUAAGAACAAUAUGCUCUUUUAACCACUCAGCAACCUCUCCAGCUCCCCAAAGAGAUGCGUUCGUCCUCACAAAGGCUGUCUGGGCCUGCUACUUGUUGGAAACACCUUUAGAUUUAUAUGUCAUUAGCUUUUUACCUGUUCUGUUCUGUUUAGCAGGCAUAAAAGGAACAGCUAUGACCUGCUAUAAUAUAACCUGUGUCUCCCCAGACACAGAUCCUGCUAGAAACCAAUACACUUUUCUCUGAGACCUGUUGUCCAGGACUCUCCUUUCCUGACACGUAUCUAUUCAAUAGAUCAUUCAGUAGAACCCAUUCUAAGGCACAUGGCAUUCUUAUGCACUGUGACUCCUUAUGCACUGUGCUUGGCUAUUGAAAACUUAAGCCAGCGCACAACAGUUGGUGCUCCUUAAGGAAACACCACACUCCUUCCUGCAAGCAGCAGCACAAACAUCUAGUGCUGCUUGUUGAUAACUUAUGCUGCAGCUACUUUGCAGACUGGCUUGUAUGCAUUAUUUCGUUUAAUCCCUGAAAUAAGCAUAAUAGAAUCAUUAUCCCCAUUUUACACAGCACGUGGGUAACUAGGCAUCUUGUGUCUAGUUGCAUAGCUUGCUAGUAACAGAGUUGGGAUUUCAAAUCACAUAUAUGAUUCUAAAGCUCAUAAAAUGUAUUUAUUAAUGAUUUCCUCAGUGACUCUCACCAAUCCAAUGUUCUCUGUAUGUACAGUGUGUGUAUUGAACAUGUACAUGCAGGCGUCAUAUUCUCUUGCAGCACUGCCUCUCACUGAACCUGUACCUGGGUUUGAGGCAGGCAUAGGAGAUCGUUGAAGCUUGAGACCCCAUUGAAACUUGGUUCUACACAUACACUUCCUCUUGUGUUAAUGCACUUGGCAACCUGGUUCCUUCACCUGCAGGCACUGUGCACACACACACCCUCCAAGCAGUACACCCAGCAACCUCAAGCCCCUACCUGUACCAGGCUACAUAUACUCUUACAUAUAAUUUUUCUUACCCCUAGUAACAGUCCAGUUAAGUUUCAGCUUAAGUGUAUUUCCAUUGAAUGAGGAUAUGAAAAAUAAAAGGGUCCAACUAGCCUGAAGUGUUUUUGGAGCGUCCUCUAGUAAACUUUAGGCACAAUCCUCUGUUUACUCUCCUAUGCCUAUGCAUAAUGGGGCAUGCAUAUGUGUCUCGUCCGCUCUCGACCAGCAAGAACGACAUGACCACCAGUCCUUCUAACAGCAGUUUAUUCAGCAAACUUCAGUCUUCAUCUCUCUCGCUUCAACUUUCUCUCUCCAUCUUUCUCUCUCUCUGACCCGGGCCUCUCACUCUUAUAUACUCUCAGCCCUCAUCCACUCACGGCAGGCCACGUCACCUCACCAGACACGCAGCUUCAGCUAAUCAGGGCAGCAGGGGCAUGUCUCCAUCAAAAUGGAUUCGCCAGUAUCCUGGUGCACCUGUGCAGCUCUCGUGAUGGUUGUGGCUUAUUUUCAGGUGUAUGAAGAAGUCAGGUGCAAGUCAUAAGACUUAGCUGCAGUCCCUGGCGCCUUCUUGGGACUGCUGCCACACCCGCUCCUCACACAUAUGAUUAAAAUCAGAUGUAUCUGGGAAGGGACAUGUGCAGCAGGAAAAAUGAAUAUGUGAUCUUAUCUAUCAAUCAAAACAGAGAACCAUCCAAUCUAUGUCCUUAAGUAACCAAACUUGCCCUGAACCCUUUUCAGAAAAAAAUCCCUGGAUAUUAAUGGACCAUGAGUGCCCUCAUUCAUGUCACCCACUACUGGUCUUUUCAACAGUGUGUCCCUCUAUGCUCUGUACUAUCAACUUGCUCCAAAGAAAAUCAUCUUGCUUCUUUUGC
rnacentral:lncRNA from 1 species